AGUGAACGCUGGCGGUAGGCCUAACACAUGCAAGUCGAACGGCAGCACAGUAAGAGCUUGCUCUUACGGGUGGCGAGUGGCGGACGGGUGGGGAAUACAUCGGAAUCUACCUUUUCGUGGGGGAUAACGUAGGGAAACUUACGCUAAUACCGCAUACGACCUACGGGUGAAAGCAGGGGAUCUUCGGACCUUGCGCGAUUGAAUGAGCCGAUGUCGGAUUAGCUAGUUGGCGGGGUAAAGGCCCACCAAGGCGACGAUCCGUAGCUGGUCUGAGAGGAUGAUCAGCCACACUGGAACUGAGACACGGUCCAGACUCCUACGGGAGGCAGCAGUGGGGAAUAUUGGACAAUGGGCGCAAGCCUGAUCCAGCCAUACCGCGUGGGUGAAGAAGGCCUUCGGGUUGUAAAGCCCUUUUGUUGGGAAAGAAAAGCAGCAGGUUAAUACCCCGCUGUUCUGACGGUACCCAAAGAAUAAGCACCGGCUAACUUCGUG
rnacentral:rRNA from 1 species